AUUGAACGCUGGCGGCAUGCCUUACACAUGCAAGUCGAACGGUAACGCGGGGCAACCUGGCGACGAGUGGCGAACGGGUGAGUAAAGUAUCGGAACGUGCCCAGUAGUGUGGGAUAGCCCGGCGAAAGCCGGAUUAAUACCGCAUAAGACCUGAGGGUGAAAGCGGGGGAUCGCAAGACCUCGCGCUGUUGGAGCGGCCGAUAUCAGAUUAGGUAGUUGGUGGGGUAAAGGCCUACCAAGCCGACGAUCUGUAGCUGGUCUGAGAGGACGACCAGCCACACUGGGACUGAGACACGGCCCAGACUCCUACGGGAGGCAGCAGUGGGGAAUUUUGGACAAUGGGCGAAAGCCUGAUCCAGCCAUGCCGCGUGCGGGAAGAAGGCCUUCGGGUUGUAAACCGCUUUUGUCGGGGAAGAAAUCUUCUGGGUUAAUACCCUGGGGGGAUGACGGUACCCGAAGAAUAAGCACCGGCUAACUACGUGCCAGCCGCCGCCGUAA
rnacentral:rRNA from 1 species